rnacentral:rRNA from 1 species
UGGGGAAUAUUGCACAAUGGGCGAAAGCCUGAUGCAGCGACGCCGCGUGGGGGAUGACGGCCUUCGGGUUGUAAACCUCUUUCAGCAAGGAAGAAGCGAAAGUGACGGUACUUGCAGAAGAAGCGCCGGCUAACUACGUGCCAGCAGCCGCGGUAAUACGUAGGGAGCAAGCGUUGUCCGGAAUUAUUGGGCGUAAAGAGCUUGUAGGUGGCUUGUCGCGUCUGCCGUGAAAACCCGAGGCUUAACCUUGGGCGUGCGGUGGGUACGGGCAGGCUAGAGUGCGGUAGGGGAGACUGGAAUUCCUGGUGUAGCGGUGAAAUGCGCAGAUAUCAGGAGGAACACCGAUGGCGAAGGCAGGUCUCUGGGCCGUUACUGACACUGAGAAGCGAAAGCAUGGGGAGCGAACAGG